rnacentral:lncRNA from 1 species
CUUCAACACACAGGCACAACUCAUGCUUUUGUCAUGGUGACCCUCUUCAGGGCAGCCAUGAUUGCACUUGGUGGGAAAGAGAAAGACUGAAUUGGAGAGGAAUUUACUGUGAAUUAGUCAUGAGAGUGAUGACUACCCAGACGAAAUUAAGGGUAAGGAGAUGAUACAGGGACAUCUGCUCAGUAGCACAUCUUUCGUGUGGGUGACCUUCUUCACACAGGCUCCCUCCCACAGUUUAUUGGUUCUAUAUUUUACUGGGAGAGAAAGGAGGUUAUAAAUACUCACAAGAAUCUGAG